CCUACGGGAGGCAGCAGUGAGGAAUAUUGGUCAAUGGGCGCGAGCCUGAACCAGCCAAGUCGCGUGAGGGAAGACGGUCCUAUGGAUUGUAAACCUCUUUUGUCGGGGAGCAAAAGACGCCACGCGUGGCGUUCCGAGAGUACCCGAAGAAAAAGCAUCGGCGAACUCCGUGCCAGCAGCCGCGGUAAUACGGAGGAUGCGAGCGUUAUCCGGAUUUAUUGGGUUUAAAGGGUGCGCAGGCGGAAGAUCAAGUCAGCGGUAAAAUUGAGAGGCUCAACCUCUUCGAGCCGUUGAAACUGGUGUUCUUGAGUGAGUGAGAAGGAUGCGGAAUGCGUGGUGUAGCGGUGAAAUGCAUAGAUAUCACGCAGAACUCCGAUUGCGAAGGCAGCAUACCGGCGCUCAACUGACGCUCAUGCACGAAAGUGUGGGUAUCGAACAGGAUUAGAUACCCUUGUAGUC
rnacentral:rRNA from 1 species